GCCAAUGUUUCCACUCACUGUCUUCUCCAAGGCACAGAUCUGCCCUCUGUCUUCACAGCUCAGUGUUGAAGUCAGCAAUGAAAGUUCAGCUCGUCGAUGUAGCUGGGAAUUGGAGCCUCCGUUCCUGAGUACUGAGCCCUCCAUGCACGAGGAUUAUAUCACUUUGAAGGGCCUUCACUCUCCAAAUAAGCUCAGAUAGACUACAAAUGCCGCAUAUCCAUCUGGAAAAAGACUCUUCAGGGAUCUGCUUUAUUUGGUCACACACAUGCCCGCAGUCAAAGCAAAUCAGAUACCUAACCUCUCUGCAUUCCUAGAAAGUGCUUCACUCUGGUUCUUCAGUGGCCCUUGAAAGCAUGUCUCAGACAAUGAUGCUCACUGUCAAGAAGCAGCAACCGGUGACCAUUCGAUAAGAAGUGCCCUUUCCCCUGUUCCUCACUUCCUGCCCCU